UACGUAGGGGGCAAGCGUUGUCCGGAUUUAUUGGGUUUACAGGGUGCGUAUGCGGUUCUGUAAGUCAGCGGUGAAAGACUAGAGCUUAACUCUGGAAUUGCCAUUGAUACUGUAGGGCUUGAGUAUAGUUGCUGUGGGCGGAAUAUGACAUGUAGUGGUGAAAUACUUAGAGAUGUCAUAGAACACCGAUUGCGAAGGCAGCUCACAAAACUAUAACUGACACUGAGGCUCGAAAGUGCGGGGAUCAAACAGG
rnacentral:rRNA from 1 species